rnacentral:lncRNA from 10 species
CUGAUUAUUAAUCUUUGUAUAUUUCUUUGUAGUUCAUAAAACAAUCUGGCAUCCACCCUCUUAUUUGGUGCUGCAGACCUCUGAGAUGCAGUGGGCAGGUGAUAUCUCCAUUUUAUAGGUGUGGAGACAGGUUCCAAAUUGUUAAAUGACUCAUUCAUAGUCAAACAGCCAGUAACUGACAGAGCAGGACCAAACAGGUCUUCUAAUUUCAAAUGCCAUCCUUUUUUCCACAACAGCAUGCUGUCUUCCUAGAAGAGGUGGGGUCUUACACUAUAUUGACUAGGCUGGGAGGACAAGAACCUGGAACCCACCAAAUGGUGGGUGCGCAAAGAGCUGUAACACUGUAGCUCUCCCUCCUGCUCGCCGAGCAAAGGGGGAGAAAAAGCCACUGUGCACCACAUGCCCCCAUUCACCAAGCUGCGGGCGACGGGACUGGAGGAGCUGUGACACAAAUGAGCUGUAAUACGCCCCCCAUUCACCGUGCUGCAGGCAGCAGGAAUGAGAGAGAGCUGCGUCAUUUCUUGGGGACUCAAACCUUGGGACAUCCCAGGCAAGAGCUAUAACACCCCUUGGGGCUCCAUGGUUGCUGGCAUGUUCGUGUUUUCAGCCGCUACCGCGUUCCCCUCAUCUAAAAGCUGGUGCCUAACAUGAAAAUGGUCCACAGCAUGCCUGGCUCAGCUGCAGGCUGAGCACGGAAUCCUUGCGCAUGCACAGGAUCUGGGUUGGUAGCCUGAGCUGAGCGCAGCCUGCCAGGGCGAGCUGGUGGAGUGAGCCCAGGAGUAAGCCCAGAGCCAAGCCAAGCCUGGACAGAGUUGCUGCCAGCCGUGGAUGUUUCCAGGUGUCGAAGCGGCAUCAAAAUCAUCCUGUGUCACUAACAUCAUUGCAAUGCUACUUCUUUAUGCACCAAAAUGUUUUGACUUAUUGCUUUGUUUUCUUUUAACCAUUUUGUACAGAAAUCAUUCUCAAAAGCUAAACAUCCUCGGUCACUUUCUUUUUUUUCUUUUUUCUUUUCUUUUUUUUUUUUUGAGAUGGAGUUUCACUCUUGUUGCCCAGGCUGGAGUGCAAUGGCGUGAUCUCGGCUCACUGCAACCUCCGCCUCCUGGGUUCAAGCAAUUCUCCUGCCUCAGCCUCCCGAGUACCUGGGAUUAAUGGCGCCCACCACUACGCCUGGCUAAUUUUUUGUAUUUUUAGUAAAGACGGGGUUUCACCACGUUGGCCAGGCUGGUCUCAAACUCCUGACCUCAGGUGAUCCACCUACCUCGGCCUCCAAAGUGCUGGGAUUACAGGCGUGAGCCACCGUACCCGGCCCAUCCUUGGCCACUUUCAACAUAACAUAGGCCAGGCACAGUGGCUCAUGCCUGUAAUCCCAGCACUUUGGGAAGCCAACGUUGGGAGAUUGUUUGAGCCCAGGAGUUUGAGACCAGCCUGGGAAACCUAAUGAGACCUUGUCUCUACAAAAAAAAAAAAAAUUUAAUUAGCUGGGUGUGGUGGCACACAUCUGUAGUUCCAGCUACUUGGGAGGCUGAGACAGGAGGAUUACUUGAGCUCAGGAGGUGGAGGCUGCGGUGAGCUAUGAUCAUGCCACUGCACUCCAGCCUGGGCAACAGAGUGAGUCCCUGUCUCCAAAAAUAAAAAUAAAAAAUGAAAAAUCAAAUAAACAUAAUACAUAUCAUUCAGUUUUUGCUUUAGCACUGGGACAUCAUUGUGAUGUGUCACUCUGGUGGCACAUAAUGUGGGGAUACUGUAACUGCCCAGUGGGUUCAUCUUGCCCUCUGGCUAGGCAGAGCCAAUUUAUCAAGACAGAAAUUGCAAUGGAGAAAGAGUAAUUCACGCAGAGCUGGCUGUGCAGGAGACCAGAGUUUUAUUAUUACUUAAAUCAGCCUUCCUGAGCCUUCGAGGAUCGGAGUUUUUAAAGAUAAUUUGUGGGGCACGGGCUUGGGAAGUGGGGAGUGCUGAUUGAUCAGGUUGGAGAUGGAAUCAUAGGGAGUCAAAGUGAGGUUUUCUUGCUGUUUUCUGUUCCUGGGUGGGAUAGCAGAACUGGUUGAGCCUUAUUACAGGUCUGGGUGGUGUCAGCUGAUCCAUGGAGUACAGGGUCUGCAAAAUAUCUCAAGCACUGAUCUUAGGUUUUACAAUAGUGAUGUUAUCCCGAGGAGCAGUCUGGGGAGGCUCAGACUCUUAGAGCCAGAGGCUACAAGACCCCUAAACUGUAAUUUCUAAUCUUGUAGCUAAUUUGUUGGUCCUGCAAAGGCAGACUGCUCCCCAGGCAAGAAGGGGGUCUUUUCAGGAAUGGGCUGUUAAUAAUUUUGUUUCAGAGUCAAACCAUGAACUGAAUUCCUUCCCAAAGCUAGUUCGGCCUAUGUCCAGGAAUGAACAAGGACAGCUUAAAGGUUAGAAGCAAGAUAGAGUCAGUUAGGUCUGAUUUCUUUCACUGCCACAAUUUCCUCAGUUAUAAUUUUCCAAAGGCAGUUUCAAUACCUUUGGGAACUUAUUGGACGGCUUGUCCCUUCAAAGAACCACUCCAAACUGCUGUGUUUUUGCAUUUCUGUAUCUUUUUUUUUUUUUUUUAACAAAUACAUAUUGUCCUGUUCCUAGCUGUUAAUUAACACUUUUUCUGACCUUCACAUGCCUGCGUCUGAGAACAUUCUCUUCUAAUAGGCAAUUUCUAAUUUGGUGAGACUGCCAAAGAGCCACAAAGUUUUUAGAAGUUUUUAUAAAACAAGAGCAAGUACACUGAGGAGGACAUUUUCCUAUGAAUAAAGUGCAAUACCUUGUUUGGUGACUUAAACGCCUCUUAUUUCCUAGGUUCUCAGCUCUGUUCUGGAUGAAUCACUGUCAGGUAUACAGUAUUAUUAUAUCAUAAAUAAAAUUAUUUUUUAAGUCUUCUAGUCCUCUCCCCCUCACCCCACUCCCAGUUAACUAGCUUUUUGGCAGUUCUAGAACUGGGCAACAGAAGAG